rnacentral:rRNA from 1 species
CGCCGGAGUGCGUCCUCUACACAUAAAAAUCCAUCUCACCCUUUUGUGCACCACCGCGUGGGCACCCUUCGGGAUCAAACCGAUCCAGGAAGGGGGCUUGCGUUUUCACACAAACCCCUUUUUAAAAGUGUAGAAUGACCCCAUUUUUUGCGAUAACACGCAAUCAAUACAACUUUCAACAACGGAUCUCUUGGCUCUCGCAUCGAUGAAGAACGCAGCGAAAUGCGAUACGUAAUGUGAAUUGCAGAAUUCAGUGAAUCAUCGAAUCUUUGAACGCACCUUGCGCCCCUUGGUAUUCCGAGGGGCACACCUGUUUGAGUGUCGUGAAAAUCUCAACCUUCUCGGUUUCUUCUGGAAACCAAAGGAGGCUUGGACUUUGGAGGCCUUUGCUGGCGUCUCUCUCUUUUGAGAGCCCAGCUCCUCUUAAAUGAAUUAGCGGGGUCCUCUUUGCUGGUCCUCGACAUGUGAUAAGAUGUUUCCAUGUCUUGGUUUCUGGCUCUGUUGCUUUUGGGACCCGCUUCUAACCGUCUCUACGAGACAACGUUUGAGCACGUCUUUCGAC